ACAGAGGGUGCGAGCGUUAAUCGGAUUUACUGGGCGUAAAGCGUGCGUAGGCGGCUGAUUAAGUCGGAUGUGAAAUCCCUGAGCUUAACUUAGGAAUUGCAUUCGAUACUGGUCAGCUAGAGUAUGGGAGAGGAAGGUAGAAUUCCAGGUGUAGCGGUGGAAUGCGUAGAGAUCGGGAGGAAUACCGGUGGCGAAGGCAGCCAGCUGGCCUAAUGCUGACGCUGAGGUGCGAAAGCGUGGGGAGCAAACAG
rnacentral:rRNA from 1 species